AUUGAACGCUGGCGGCAUGCCUUACACAUGCAAGUCGAACGGCAGCGCGGGAGCAAUCCUGGCGGCGAGUGGCGAACGGGUGAGUAAUACAUCGGAACGUGCCCAAUCGUGGGGGAUAACGCAGCGAAAGCUGUGCUAAUACCGCAUACGAUCUACGGAUGAAAGCAGGGGAUCGCAAGACCUUUCGCGAAUGGAGCGGCCGAUGGCAGAUUAGGUAGUUGGUGAGGUAAAGGCUCACCAAGCCUUCGAUCUGUAGCUGGUCUGAGAGGACGACCAGCCACACUGGGACUGAGACACGGCCCAGACUCCUACGGGAGGCAGCAGUGGGGAAUUUUGGACAAUGGGCGAAAGCCUGAUCCAGCCAUGCCGCGUGCAGGAUGAAGGCCUUCGGGUUGUAAACUGCUUUUGUACGGAACGAAACGGUCUUUUCUAAUAAAGAAGGCUAAUGACGGUACCGUAAGAAUAAGCACCGGCUAACUACGUG
rnacentral:rRNA from 1 species